rnacentral:rRNA from 1 species
CGCGGCCUAUCAGCUUGUUGGUGAGGUAAUGGCUCACCAAGGCGACGACGGGUAGCCGGCCUGAGAGGGUGACCGGCCACACUGGGACUGAGACACGGCCCAGACUCCUACGGGAGGCAGCAGUGGGGAAUCUUGCGCAAUGGGCGAAAGCCUGACGCAGCGACGCCGCGUGGGGGAUGACGGCCUUCGGGUUGUAAACCUCUUUCAGUAGGGAAGAAGCGAAAGUGACGGUACCUGCAGAAGAAGCGCCGGCUAACUACGUGCCAGCAGCCGCGGUAAUACGUAGGGCGCAAGCGUUAUCCGGAAUUAUUGGGCGUAAAGAGCUCGUAGGCGGUUUGUCGCGUCUGCCGUGAAAGUCUGGGGCUCAACUCCGGAUCUGCGGUGGGUACGGGCAGGCUAGAGUGAUGUAGGGGAGACUGGAAUUCCUGGUGUAGCGGUGAAAUGCGCAGAUAUCAGGAGGAACACCGGUGGCGAAGGCGGAUCUCUGGGCCUUACCUGACGCUCAGGUGCGAAAGCUAGGGGAGCGAACAGGAUUAGAUACCCUGGUAGUCCUAGCCGUAAACGUUGGGUGCUAGGUGUGGGCGGAUAUCAACCCCGUCCGUGCCGAGGCUAACGCAUUAAGCACCCCGCCUGGGGAGUACGG